rnacentral:lncRNA from 1 species
GAUUCCUCGGCAACUCAGUUUCCACACUAGUUAAACGAUGAUGAUAUGCAUUUGUCUCGCAGGGUUGCUUCAGGCUUGGAAGAAUUCAUCACACUGGUACCCAGAGUAACUUCAGGUAAAAUGAAGGCGCACCAAAAUCAGAGGUCAGCACGGCAAGACUGCUAUCAAGGAGACAUGUGUAGUUCCGGGUCUUGGGGCUCAUUAUCGACUGCAGCAGUUGCUGUGGCUGCUGGACCAUCAGGAUCUGUGGAUGUGUUUAGACAGAUGGAGGAAUUACAGAUGGGCUCAGGAGCUGUACGCGGGAUACUGGAGGUUGGUGCUUUCUCCCUGGAGGCUGAGAUUUGCAACUCUAGGCUAGAUUUGUAAACUGUCAAAUCUCAAGGCAUUUGAACUCUGCUCUGAGGGGGCAGUGUGAAGUUAUAAGCCGUGAUGGUCAUGAUCACAGCUGCCUGUGCUUUAAGAGGUAGGGGAUUGAGCAGGAAGGGAACACAGAGAUGGUAAGAGACACUGGAAGGGGAUAGGAUAAUGUUAAAAUGGAUGAUGGUGAUGUUUGCUGACCCUGAUGGUACCGAUGAGGUGAUGAUAAAGGCAAUGGCAGUAGUUGAGGGAGUGUGCUGGUGAAGAUGGUGAUGGUGGUGGUGUUGACAGCAAUGGCAAUGACAAA